GACGAACGCUGGCGGCGUGCCUAAUACAUGCAAGUCGAGCGAAGUUUUUUGGUGCUUGCACUAGAAAAACUUAGCGGCGAACGGGUGAGUAACACGUAAAGAACCUGCCUCAUAGACUGGGACAACUAUUGGAAACGAUAGCUAAUACCGGAUAACAGCAUUAACUGCAUGGUUGAUGUUUGAAAGUUGGUUAUGCUAACACUAUGAGAUGGCUUUGCGGUGCAUUAGCUAGUUGGUGGGGUAAAGGCCCACCAAGGCGACGAUGCAUAGCCGACCUGAGAGGGUGAUCGGCCACACUGGGACUGAGACACGGCCCAGACUCCUACGGGAGGCAGCAGUAGGGAAUCUUCCGCAAUGGGCGAAAGCCUGACGGAGCAACGCCGCGUGAGUGAAGAAGGAUUUCGGUUCGUAAAGCUCUGUUGUUAGGGAAGAAUGGAUAUGUAGUAACUAUACA
rnacentral:rRNA from 1 species